GACGAACGCUGGCGGCGCGCCUCAUACAUGCAAGUCGAACGAGAAACUCGGAGCUUGCUCCGGGUGGACAGUGGCGAACGGGUGAGUAACACGUGAGAAACCUGCCCCGAAGACCGGGACAACACCAGGAAACCGGUGCUAAUACCGGAUGUCCUUACCGGACCGCAUGAUCUGGUAAGGAAAUGGAUUCCGCUUCGGGAUGGUCUCGCGGCCUAUCAGCUUGUUGGCGGGGUAACGCCACCAAGGCAA
rnacentral:rRNA from 1 species